rnacentral:lncRNA from 1 species
GCAAAAUUCACUAUGAUUGAUCUUCAAAUAUUGUCAAAGCUAGAGUCCAAGCUGCCCUACUUUAGCUUAUCUGAUGAUGAUGAUGGUGAUCUUCAAAUAGCAUCUUCUCACCCAUAUUUCUUUUCAUGGUCCCACUGAAAGGACUUCAGCAAAAGCUUCACAACUGAGUCUCACGAGAUCAACAUUAGCUUCACUUUCCAUUUGAAGCUUCUCAAGUAUUAGCAGCAACACCAAGGUAUAUUGAUAUAAAUUAUGAGACUAACUCGACAUAUAGAAUAUCACUUCACGAAGAUACUUUCCGCUCAUCAAGAAGCCUUCAACUUAUGUAGACAAAUGAAGACCCACACUUACCAAAAAUCCGAAUUUUUUUUCCUCCAGAAAGGCUUUUAGUCUCUUUGGCAUAUUUUCAAAAAUAAUUUUUUUUGGGAACAUUUUUUAAACAUAAUUCUUACUUAUUUCAAAAAUAAAAAUUGGCUUGAAAACGACUAGCCUUGAAUCCUGGUUUCCUACAGAAAUAAAAGAUUAAUUCACCAUUUAUAAAGAGAAUCAUUGCUCACAAGAUCCAAAGUAGGUCGAAACAGACUUUGAAACGUUCCGGCACAAAAUUCUGCUGUGUGCUUCUGGGCGGAUCAUAAGUGAUCCUCUCUGCUUGCUCAUUUUUACAAUUUCACUUCUGCUUUGAGUGCUUCAACACUUUCACUUGAAGCUGCAUGAGCGACUUCUUCGCUUCACUGCCAUAAUCAAAUUUCACAAAGUGAUCCAUUGAGCUGCUGUACAAGCAAUAUCCACCUUUGCCCACUGCCUACAAUACUGUUGACCCUAAGAUAAUUGAGAGCUUAAGCGACUGCACGGAGCACUUCAGCUACUAUUCUUGAUCCAUUUGAAAUUUUGAUGACUUUGACACUCCUUUUGCUUCUCCUGUCACAUAUACAAUUUUUUUUUCCACUCUGUUUGGUUUCG